UUUUCUUUAGUAUAAAAAGUAUAUUUAACUUCCAAUUAAAAGGUUUUUAAAAAAAGAAAAA
rnacentral:tRNA from 1 species